rnacentral:rRNA from 1 species
GCUUGCUUCUCUUGAGAGCGGCGGACGGGUGAGUAAUGCCUAGGAAUCUGCCUGGUAGUGGGGGAUAACGUUCGGAAACGGACGCUAAUACCGCAUACGUCCUACGGGAGAAAGCAGGGGACCUUCGGGCCUUGCGCUAUCAGAUGAGCCUAGGUCGGAUUAGCUAGUUGGUGAGGUAAUGGCUCACCAAGGCGACGAUCCGUAACUGGUCUGAGAGGAUGAUCAGUCACACUGGAACUGAGACACGGUCCAGACUCCUACGGGAGGCAGCAGUGGGGAAUAUUGGACAAUGGGCGAAAGCCUGAUCCAGCCAUGCCGCGUGUGUGAAGAAGGUCUUCGGAUUGUAAAGCACUUUAAGUUGGGAGGAAGGGUUGUAGAUUAAUACUCUGCAAUUUUGACGUUACCGACAGAAUAAGCACCGGCUAACUCUGUGCCAGCAGCCGCGGUAAUACAGAGGGUGCAAGCGUUAAUCGGAAUUACUGGGCGUAAAGCGCGCGUAGGUGGUUUGUUAAGUUGGAUGUGAAAUCCCCGGGCUCAACCUGGGAACUGCAUUCAAAACUGACUGACUAGAGUAUGGUAGAGGGUGGUGGAAUUUCCUGUGUAGCGGUGAAAUGCGUAGAUAUAGGAAGGAACACCAGUGGCGAAGGCGACCACCUGGACUAAUACUGACACUGAGGUGCGAAAGCGUGGGGAGCAAACAGGAUUAGAUACCCUGGUAGUCCACGCCGUAAACGAUGUCAACUAGCCGUUGGAAGCCUUGAGCUUUUAG